rnacentral:pre_miRNA from 1 species
AGUGCAAUUGCUGGAUCAUAUGGUAAAAGUAUGUUUAAUUUUGUAAAAAAGUUCCAAACUGUUUUCCAAAGUGGCUGUAUCAUUUUACAUUCCCACUAGUAAU